rnacentral:rRNA from 1 species
UUACCGGCUUGACAUGCCAGAGAUUCCUCGGCACAGGUGCUGCAUGGUUGUCGUCAGCUCGUGUCGUGAGAUGUUGGGUUAAGUCCCGCAACGAGCGCAACCCUGUCUUAGUUGUCAUCAAUUGGACCUCUACGAGACUGCCGCGGACAAGCGGAGGAAGGUGGGGAUGACGUCAAAUCAUCAUGGCCCUUACGCCGGGCUACACACGUGCUACAAUGGGGUACAUGGGGCACCGCGAGGGGAGCAAUCCCCAAACCGCCUCAGUUCGGAUUGUAGUCUGCAACUCGACUACAUGAAGCUGGAAUCGCUAGUAAUCGCAGUCAGAACAUGCGGUGAAUACGUUCCCGGGCCUUGUACACACCGCCCGUCAAGCCACGGAAGUUGAAGGCUAAA